GAUUCACUGGAUGAGAAGCAGCAGCAGGAGUGGAAGGGCUGUUGGUGUAUAAAGCUCUGCUUGGGGAAUCCUUUAUCUCUGACACAGGAGAGGGAGGUUUCUCAGAACUGUUGCUGACCCCAGUCACUCUUUAGCUCCCACUCCUGGCCCUGUCCUGCUUGGAUUCCACUUGGAACAUUCAUCUUAGGCCCCUAAUGCAUCAUCUAAUACUGAUAGUGGACCAGCAUCACAUCUGAUUUGCAUCCACUCACUCACGUGGUGUUAGAGGAAGAGUCAGCUGAUGCAACAAUUUCCCAACAUCUGGCACUGAAACUGAACGCAUACCCAUCCUCGGAUCCAGGAAUCCAUCUGUAGGUAUAUAUCGAGAAAUACAUGCCCAUGUACUUCAAAAGUCACACAGAGGAAAUCUCAUAACGGUAUACUAUUUCUGUG